UACGUAGGGUGCGAGCGUUGUCCGGAAUUAUUGGGCGUAAAGGGCUCGUAGGCGGUUUGUCGCGUCGGGAGUGAAAAACCUUGGGCUUAACUCAGGGCUUGCUUUCGAUACGGGCAGACUAGAGGUAUGCAGGGGAGAACGGAAUUCCUGGUGUAGCGGUGAAAUGCGCAGAUAUCAGGAGGAACACCGGUGGCGAAGGCGGUUCUCUGGGCAUGAUCUGACGCUGAGGAGCGAAAGUGUGGGGAGCGAACAGG
rnacentral:rRNA from 1 species